GAUGAAGAACGCAGUGAAAUGCGAUAAGUAGUGUGAAUUGCAGAAUUCAGUGAAUCAUCGAAUCUUUGAACGCACAUUGCGCCCCUUGGUAUUCCAGGGGGCAUGCCUGUUCGAGCGUCAUUUGUACCCUCAAGCUAUGCUUGGUGUUGGGCGAUUGUCCGGCCUCUGCGCCUGGACUCGCCUUAAAGCGAUUGGCAGCCGGUGUUUUUGGUAGUAGAGCGCAGCACAUUUUGCACUCUGUCCUCCAGACAAUGGCGUCCAUAAAGCACACUUCUCACUUUUGACCUCGGAUCAGGUAGGGAUACCCGCUGAACUUAAGCAUAUCAAUAAGCGGAGGA
rnacentral:misc_RNA from 1 species